rnacentral:rRNA from 1 species
CCUACGGGAGGCAGCAGUGGGGAAUAUUGGUCAAUGGACGCAAGUCUGACCCAGCAACGCCGCGUGAAGGAUGAAGGCUUUCGGGUUGUAAACUCCUUUUAAGGGGGAAGAGCAGAAGACGAUACCACUUGAAUCAGCCAUGCCUAACUACGUGCCAGCAGCCGCGGUAAUACGUAGGUUGCAAGCGUUGUCCGGAUUUACUGGGUGUAAAGGGCGUGCAGCCGGAGUGACAAGUCAGAUGUGAAAUCCAAGGGCUGAACCAGAGAACUGCAUGUGAAACUGUUUCCCUUGAGUGUGGGAGAGGUAAGCGGAAUUCCUUGUGUAGCGGUGAAAUGCGUAGAUAUAAGGAAGAACACCAGUGGCGAAGGCGGAUUACUGGACGAUAACUGACGGUGAGGCGCGAAAGCGUGGGGAGCAAACAGGAUUAGAUACCCCAGUAGUC